UUGCUUUGGUAGCACAUAUACUAAAAUUUGAAUGAUACAGAGAUUAGCAUGGCCCCUGUGAAAGGAUGACAUGCAAAUUCAUCAAGCGUUCCAUAUUUAU
rnacentral:snRNA from 1 species